CGAGAUGGUGGAAUUGGUAGACACGUCGGACUUAAAAUCCGAUUGCCUUUAAAAGCAGUGCGGGUUCGAGUCCCGCUCUCG
rnacentral:tRNA from 1 species